rfam:Populus trichocarpa scaffold_4_contig_189, whole genome shotgun sequence.
UCUAGAACUCGAGAUAUGGGCUGAACACUGAACAGUGUCUGGGUUGCAGGACAUAUUCUGACUUCUCUGUUAUUGCCAAGAUUUGGACUUCCAGACAGGAGAAUUGAGUCUUGGACUCCUUGUAACAUCCCCAUAUCCAAGAUAAAGC